GAAAGUCCCCUUCGGGGGGCAAGUAGAUUUGGCGCACGGGUGAGUAACACGUAGGUAAUCUACCUUCGGAUGGGGAAUAACAAUCGGAAACGGUUGCUAAUACCGCAUAAUGCAGCGGCACCUAAUGGUGACAGUUGUUAAAGCGGGGGAUCGAAAGACCUCGCGUCUGAAGAGGAGCCUGCGGCGGAUUAGCUAGUUGGUAAGGUAACGGCUUACCAAGGCUACGAUCUGUAACCGGUCUAAGAGGACGGUCGGUCACACUGACACUGAAUAACGGGUCAGACUCCUACGGGAGGCAGCAGUCGGGAAUUUUGGGCAAUGGGCGAAAGCCUGACCCAGCAACGCCGCGUGAAGGAUGAAAUCCCUCGGGAUGUAAACUUCGCAAGAACGGGAAGAAUAAGUAGGGGACAAUACCCCCUAUGAUGACGGUACCGUUUGUAAGCUCCGGCUAACUCCGUGCCAGCAGCCGCGGUAAUACGGGGGGAGCAAGCGUUGUUCGGAUUUACUGGGCGUAAAGGGCGCGUAGGCGGCCAGCGCAAGUCAGUUGUGGAAAUUCUUCCGAGCUUAACUCGGGAAAGGUCAUUGAUUAACUGGCGGGUUAGAGUGCAGAAGGGGGCAACUGGGAAUUCUCGGGGUAGCGGGUGAAAUU
rnacentral:rRNA from 1 species